rfam:Stegodyphus mimosarum contig93472, whole genome shotgun sequence.
GCCUUUGUGGUGUAGUGGUCAGUACUCUUGGUGCGUAUUCAAGAGGUCCGUGGUUCGAAUCCCGGCGAGGGCA